GAUGAACGCUGGCGGCGUGCCUAAUACAUGCAAGUCGAGCGAACAGACGAGGAGCUUGCUCCUCUGACGUUAGCCGCGGACGGGUGAGUAACACGUGGAUAACCUACCUAUAAGACUGGGAUAACUUCGGGAAACCGGAGCUAAUACCGGAUAAUAUAUUGAACCGCAUGGUUCAAUAGUGAGAGACGGUUUUGCUGUCACUUAUAGAUGGAUCCGCGCCGCAUUAGCUAGUUGGGAAGGUAACGGCUUACCAAGGCAACGAUGCGUAGCCGACCGCAGAGGCUGAUCGGCGACCUUGGAGGUGGGCCGCGGUCAAUAGGCCUAAGGGAGGCAGCAGUAGGGAACCGGCCGCAAUGGGCGAAAGUUUGACGGAGCAACGCCGCGCGAGUUACGGAGGUCUCCGGAUCGGAAAACUCUGUUAUUAGGUAAGAACAAAUUUGGAAGUAACUAUGCACGGCUUGACGGUACCUAGUCAGAAAGCCACGGCUAACUACGUG
rnacentral:rRNA from 1 species